GCAUUAGUGGUUUAGUAGUAAAAUCCAUUGUUGCCAUUAAUGGGCCCUGUGUUUGAUUCACAGCUAAUGCA